rnacentral:lncRNA from 1 species
UCAGUGAUAAAAAUUAUCUGCAAGCAAGGGAGUGAGAAACUAUCAAAACCAACAGUGAAGUUGUGUCUGAAUUCUUGUUUCAGUUUGCAUUGUAUAGUAGUCCAAAAUGAUUGUGCGAUUGGGAUCCCUAGUGAUUUUGGUGAUGACUUUGGCAGUUGAAGCCCAACUGAAAAGUGGGUUUUAAUCAAAUUCAUGUCCAACAGCUGCGCCCAUCUUACGGUCCACAGUUGUAUCUUACUUUAACAAAGAUCCAACCAUUGAUCCAGGCCUGCUCAGGUUUCAUUUCCAUGAUUGCUUUGUCCAAGGCUGCGAUGGAUCCAUAUUGAUUACAGGUUCUUCUUCAGAAAGGAAUGCAUUACCAAACCUUGGCCAUAUGCCCCGGAGUUGUCUCAUGUGCUGACAUCCUAGCAUUGGCAGCCCGUGAUGCUGUCAAUUUGGUAUUAAAGCAAUCUUAAAACUUACUCAAACUCACUCUACCACACACGCGCGCUCACACACAAUACAUUGUGUUUUUGAAGGAACCAUGAUAAAAUCAAUAAGCUUUUCAGACAUAAUGAGAAAUACGUGGAUUGGAAGGUAUUGGAAAGAAUGUUGAAGGUGGGUUGCAAGACCACCAAUCUCUCCGUCCUGCAAUGAAGAAUGUAAUCUUGAUGUUGGAAGGUUUGAAAGAUAUUCCGGUUCCUCCCUCUCCAGCUCGCUUGCUUGAGUAGUCUUGUAGGGAUUUAUGUGUUGCUUGU